GAAGUCUGAGCGAUGCCUGGAUUCAAAUUCCUGCGAGUGAUCCAUUUGAAUCGAUGCCACGCGUGCCAUCCCUCUUGUGCGUAACAUCGAAAUAGAGAAACAGCCUCCAGCUGCAGACCUAUGGGUUUCUUUUAACAUCAGCAUGCUAUAGAGCCAAGGAGCGCUGCUCCCAGGGCAGCCCAGAGCUUUCCCAGAGCAAGCGUUUGGCGGCAGCCCGCCACCUCCCAACAUGUCGCUGUCUUUCUGGCAAGGAAGUGCCCGGCACUGGAGCUAGAAUACAGGUCUUGUGUAAAGCCCUGGCAUCAUGUGAUUACGUUACAGCAAAAAACCAUCUGAUCAAGUGACUCGUGAUUGAAAAGACAGCCAGUGACAGCCCGAUCUGAAUGCACCUUCAUUUCAAAAAUAACUAUCGGGUAUCUGCAAGUCAGCUGGAAUAAUAGCAGUGGGAAGCGGGGAAGGCAGCACACCUCCGAGCGGGGUCAGGGAGCCUUCAUGCCGUUUCCAAUCUCAGGCUGUCCGAGUGCUGUUUGCUUUGCAGAUCUCGUCUGCCUUCAGUUUCCAGCUCCCCGCUGGAAGAGGCACGCGGUCGUGCCGGAGCUGGUGGGAACCUUACACCUCUGUCUGCUUGCACCAAGGCUGAACGAAAGCUCUGGUGGUUUCCUCCAUGAAGCUGCCACCAGCGCCAAUGGGACUAGGUUUUAUCAUUGCUUAUUGCAUCAAGACUGCACAAAGCAGCACAAAUCCUCUGUUGGUCUCCAAAAUCACCAAACAAGGUCAGACCGGCUCUUUUUUCUUUAUUUUAUUGUGUGGCACUGGAACUUCCGUGAAACGCGGUGCAGGGAUUCUGUGACCCGUAGGAGAGGUGAUGUUAUGAAGCUACAGCAGAAUUUUUUGACCCAAGCUUGUGUUAUGUGAAAGCCUGAGAGGCUCAUGGCGCCAUCCCAGCUAAACGCAUGGUGUGCUGAAUAAACCUACCUGCUGCACCGCACGGCAGAGCUUUUUGUGGGUAACCAGCAGGGCCUGAAGCCACAAGGAAAGGUGAAGCCAAGGAGAGAGAUGGGAGACGAGUUUAUGGGGAAGCUAAAAUGGUGGGUGUGGAGAUUUUAAUUAAUUAAUUGCAAAGCUAAAGAGAAAAUGAAUAUAUAACCAAUACAGAAAUAACUCGUGCCUAAAAAUAGUCCCAGGAAUCAGUUUAACUGAGAAUAUGCUCAGCCAAGUGAAGCCAUUUCCAAGGUGCAGGGUGAUGAGAACGGGACCCGAGCGCGCCUUGCCAUUGUCUCUUCAGCUGGAGCACUGCACGUGAGAGUCCCAAUUGCUGCUUCCUGCGUACAGCGAACCGGUAGAGAUAUUAAAUUGGGGCAUAAUGAUGAAUGAAACCGUGGGACGUGUCUUGAUUAUCCCAGGUUUCUAAUGUAUAAUUGAAUUAUUUUGGUAAGUAUAUUUCAAGCCCUUUGAUUUCUGGCCUCUGUUUUUAAUUACUCAGCCCCCUCUUGCCCUUGUGCAUUAUUAUGCUAUUCAUUAGCAUUCCGUGAGACUACAGAAGUUUGACUUCUGAAUAAAGUAGCGUACAAAAGAG